GACAGAGGUGCCGAGCGUUUAGGCGGAAUCACUGGGCUUAAAGCGUGUGUAGGCGGAUCGUUCAGUGGUCUUGUGAAAUCCCACGGCUCAACCGUGGAACUGCUGGGCAUACUGGGCGAUCUUGAGCGACCUAGGGGCAGAUGGAACAGGCGGUGGAGCGGUGAAAUGACGUAGAGAUCGGGAGGAACAUCAGUGGCGAAGGCGGCCAUCUGGAUCAACACUGGAC
rnacentral:rRNA from 1 species